AACGAACGCUGGCGGCAUGCUUAACACAUGCAAGUCGAACGAAACCUUCGUGUCUAGUGGCGCACGGGGGCGUACCGCGUGGGGACCUGCCCUUAGGUUCCGAAUACCUCCCCGAGAGGGAUGCUAAUACCGGAUAAUGUCUUCGGACCAAAGAUUUAUCGCCUUUGGAUGGGCGCGCGUUGGAUUAGCUAGUUGGUAGGGUAAACGCCUACCAAGGCGACGAUGCAUAGCUGGUCUGAGAGGAUGACAAACCACGCUUGGACUGCGACACGGCCCAGACUCCUACGGGAGGGAGCAGUGGGGAACAUUGGACAAGGGGCGAAGGCCUGAUCCAGCAAUGCCGGGGAAGUGAUGAAGGCCGUAGGGUUGUAAAGCUCUUUUACACGAGAUGAGAAUGACGGUAACGGGAGAAGAAGCUCCGGCUAACUCCGUG
rnacentral:rRNA from 1 species